GCCCUUAUAGCUCAGUGGUAGAGCGCAUCACUCGUAUGCAUCAAGCGGUAUGAUGAGGUCGGCGGUUCAAUCCCGCCUGGGGGCA
rfam:Thielavia terrestris NRRL 8126 chromosome 3, complete sequence.